UUUUACUCACUAAGAAGUCAAGACGCAGGAACAACAGAGGCUCUCAAAAUGAACACUCCUCUAGGACCACUGACUGUGCUAGUCUUAGUGCUUGGGGGAAGCAGUGGAGACUCGGUGACCCAGAGAGAAGGACAAGUGACGCUCUCUGAGGGGGAUUCGCUGACUGUGAACUGCUCCUAUGAAACCACACAGUACCCGGCGCUUUUCUGGUAUGUCCAGUAUCCUGGUGAAGGUCCACAGCUCCUCCUGAAGGCCACGAAGGCCAAUGAUAAGGGAAGCAACAAAGGGUUUGAAGCCUUGUACAACAAAGAAGCUACCUCCUUCCACUUGAAGAAAGCCGCGGUUCAAGAGUCAGACUCGGCUGUGUACUACUGUGCUCUGAGUGACACAGUGACAGAACUGCAGGGGGAGCUGAGCACAAACCAAGGUGCAGUGAGAGGCCAGGUGCAGAGUGCCUGCCUCUGUGACCCACUCGGCUUGGGGAAUUGUUACCAUUUAUUGAGAAGCAGAGACAAUGGCAAGUGGCAAAAGACAGCAAGAACACAACUACACUAA